rfam:Phaseolus vulgaris cultivar G19833 chromosome 10, whole genome shotgun sequence.
AACCCAUGAUUUGGGCAUUUUCUCAAUAGCAUCUUAAAUUUAUCCCAUGUCUCACAGAAGACUUCAUCUACUCCUUGUCUGAACAUAGAGAUUUCAGACUUUGCUU